AGCUUUGCGCAGUGGCAGUAUCGUAGCCAAUGAGGUUUAUCUGAGGCGCGAUUAUUGCUAAUUGAAUAUAUGAUCAUAGAACAUUUAGGAGGUAUUUCAUGAUUAUACAAAUCCCUACAAUUUUUGCUCUGCAUCUCAAGUGU